AUGCAUAAUUUCCUUCUGACAUCCCUCUUGCCUGUUUGCUUUUACCCCCAAAGGGCCACGAUCUGUUUGUCCAAAGGGCCACGAUCUGUUUGUCCAANNNNNNNNNNNNNNNNNNNNNNNNNCUGGUUUCUGCCCAGUUACAGAGAUGGUGGAUUUACUGGUUUCUACCCGGUUACAGAGGUGGUGUGUCGUGACAUGGUGCGGGUCUCUACUGUGAACCUAUAGUGUGGUCUCUGCUGAAGUCCUGCAGGGGUAGUCAAGCGUUCACUAGGAGCAUGUGGAGUUCAGUUCACCACCAUAUGAGAAUAAACAGUGGCUAGACGGAUCAGGAGUGACCUGACCUUGUGUGGCCUACACAUCACCACAAAAUUAACAGAUAUACUGUAUCUGUUGUUGGGGAAGCUAAUCUAAAAAUAUAGCUUACCAAGCUACCAAUUACUCACACUGGAAGAUGUUAAAAUACAGUACAGCUACCGCUUGUUUAACUAAAGUUACUUUGAAAAAGUAGUACACUGAUCAAAACUACCUCGUCAGAAUCUGAAAUGUCAAGUUAAGAAACAUGCCUACAGGAAGGUAGUGAGCUCUUUGUGACAUCCAGAGACUGUGUGUGUCAGGUUAGCCCAGUGGUCAGGGAGAGGAAAAAAUAAGGGUGUAGUUAUUGUGCUAAUAAUUGAGUACUUUUUUUGUGUGCAAAAAUGUUAUGGGCAGUUCAGGUAGUUAGCUACACCAGUACAUGGCAAAAAACGAAUGAUGUACUGAAAACAAUACAAUGCUAGUCAAAAAAUGUAGUUCUAUUACUAGUUGAAUUUACAUGUAAUGGAACUACUCGCCAACACUGUUGUAGAGUUAAGCAUGGUUUAGUCAGACCCCCUCAUAACCAAGCCAUGAUCAUUUCACAAAAUAAAGCUGUGGCAGAACUCAGAUGCCAGUUAACGAGCGUCUUCAUAGAUGUUAGAACAGUUUAUGCUGUCUCUGUUCUCUCCAGGUUUCGUCUCCAGAAUCUGCUCUCUCAGUCCCACCAACAUCCUUAACUCUGGUAGCAAUAUGGUUAACCACAAACACAUACCCUUUUCUGACACAACGACAUAGGCCUACCGCUGUAGCCCUACACCACAGGAGAUUGGUGGCACCUUAAUUGGGGAGGAAGGGCUCAUAGUAAUGGCUGGAACGGAAUCAAUGCAACGGUAACAAAUUAAUCAUGGUUUCCAUGUGGUUGAUACCAUUCCAUUCUCGCCAUUUUUAUGAGCCGUCCUCCCCUCAGCAGCUUCCUGUGGGCUACACACAGCCACCCCAUUCCAUUUACCAAUCCAAUUUUCCGUCAUGGAAAUAUCUGUUAUAAUCAGACUCUCCAGAAGAUGGCAUUACCCUCCUCUAUUCUUGUUGUUUAGAAGGUUGUGAGGCAGCGUGAAAGGCAGCUUGAAAUUACUUUGGGUUCAGUUUAUUGUGGCACUUCAUGUUAUGAUUAAAUUGAAUAUCAAGUCACUCACCUUAUUCAUAGGCGGAUGAUAAUAUUUUGCUGAUAACACAGACUAUUUUUUUCUUUGUCAUCUUUAGUCAUCAUGCACAUGGAUUCUGGUGGAAUUCAAAGGGAUACCUCUUGGAGUCUGGGCAUGUUUGUCUGUAGGCUGUGAAGGGAUCUAUAGGUCAGAGGCAUACUUAACGAGGAGGCGAGGAGACUCACAGACAGAGGUACAGGCCAAAGUAUUGAUCCAGAAGUAUUUGACAUUUCAUGUAGAACCCUCACUGGUGAUUCAUUGUCAGGGUGAGUCCAUCCUUCCUGUCGAAACAACGGAGAACAAACGUGACCCUCAAAAAGGGAUCCAUAAGUUAUGAGCCACGCAGAGCAUGUUACAGACAAAUAGUGAGCUCUUGUUUUGACCACAGCAGCUCCCGUGCCCCUUCAUUUGAAAGGUUAUCAGCUUCUCCAAGACCCUGUAAUGUAGAUAAGUAACAUCCUGGCUUCGUGCACAUUAUUGGCAACACCCACCAAUUGGUGGAGAAUGUACUUGGACACAUCUAGAUCAUUCUGCCUGUUACUGUUGCUGCAGAGGUCAACAGGUUCUCACUAACAUCCAUAGAGAGAUGUAUACUUUGUGAAAGAGAGAGAGAGAGAGCGAGCGAGAGAGCAAGAGAACACGAUGGAGAGAGAGAAUGAGACAGAUGGAGAGACAGAGAGAGACACACACAGAGAGAGAGACAGAGAGAGAGAUGUACUGUACAUAUGUAGGAUUUUAAUUUGACCUAUAUUGCCACAGCAAAAUAAUCCUGCAGCAACAGGAUUUGAACGUUUAGUCCAUAAUGUUGCUUGAGCGAUAGUUAGGCUAUUAGCUGGUCAAAAAUAGGCUGCAUGAAAAGUGAAAUACUUUUAUGUGUGUUAGUGUGGAUUUUCAGUGAAUAUAUGUAAAUU
rnacentral:lncRNA from 13 species